GCUGGGUGUGGUGACACAUGCCUAUAAUCCCAGUGACUAGGGAGGCUGAGGCAGGAGGAUUGCAGGUUCAAACCCAGCCUCAGCAACUUAGCGAGGCACUAAGCAACUCAGAGAGACCCUGUCUCUA
rnacentral:sRNA from 1 species